rnacentral:rRNA from 1 species
UGGGGAAUAUUGGACAAUGGGCGAAAGCCUGAUCCAGCCAUGCCGCGUGUGUGAAGAAGGCCUUUUGGUUGUAAAGCACUUUAAGUGGGGAGGAAAAGCUUAUGGUUAAUACCCAUAAGCCCUGACGUUACCCACAGAAUAAGCACCGGCUAACUCUGUGCCAGCAGCCGCGGUAAUACAGAGGGUGCAAGCGUUAAUCGGAAUUACUGGGCGUAAAGCGCGCGUAGGUGGUUAUUUAAGUCAGAUGUGAAAGCCCCGGGCUUAACCUGGGAACUGCAUCUGAUACUGGAUAACUAGAGUAGGUGAGAGGGGAGUAGAAUUCCAGGUGUAGCGGUGAAAUGCGUAGAGAUCUGGAGGAAUACCGAUGGCGAAGGCAGCUCCCUGGCAUCAUACUGACACUGAGGUGCGAAAGCGUGGGUAGCAAACAGGAUUAGAUACCCUGGUAGUCCACGCCGUAGACGAUGUCUACCAGUCGUUGGGUCUUUUAAAGACUUAGUGACGCAGUUAACGCAAUAAGUAGACCGCCUGGGGAGUACGGCCGCAAGGUUA